AUUUUGCUGACUACCACCAAGAGAAAACAAAUUCUCCACUUGACCAUGGCAAGACCGAAUCCUCAUUGUGUUUUGUUAGUUUUUUUUGCUUUUAUUCUCAUAACAAGAGUCCAAUGCUUUACUAGUGUAAUUUCACAUGAAUACCGUGGAAAAAAAGAAAAACCUCAACGAGGUAAAAGACUUACAACAGCCCGAAGCUUUCUUUCACAAAUAGAAGGGACACACGAUACAACAUAUAUUCUUGACCAGUUCAAAAGAUCGCAACAAGCAAGUCAAGACUUUUGUGAAAAAAUUGUUAACUAUUGCCAACAAAAGCACAUAACUAGAAAGAAGACCRCAAGAUACUGAAAUUCUAUUUUCCAAUUCAUUUAAAGUAUUGUUUCAUAAACUGUUAAAAGAGAUGAGCAUCUACUUUUGAGUACAGUUGUACAUGAUAUUUUGAUAAGAAAGUGCACUUUCACACCAUSAAUUAACAGUAAUUACAAUAAAACAUUAUAACUGUG